GCAAUACUAUUCAAAUGUAUAUUGGAUAAGCCUCUUUAUUGUUUGUUUUUUUUUUUUUUUUUCUGAUUCUGUUUCUUAGAUAUAUAUUAUCAUCCUUUUCUGCAUUUCUCCUAUCUCCUAUAAUUUACAGUCCUUUUUGUCCAUUAACUAGUGGUAAUACAUGAGUAAAGAGAAGACUUUGAAGAUACAGGUGCCUUUUCAUCUCUUUCAUCAAUCAAGUCCCACCUUUCUCAUUUUUAUUUGUUUAUUUUCAAGCUUUUUAGUUGUUGUGCUUUGUUUUCUUUUCCUUUUCUUUUUUUAUCUUCAGAGAGUCAAUUUUUUUUUUUUAUGAAGUGUCUGAUUCCUCUUAUUUACAACCAAAUUUCUCUUUACUGUGUUGGCUCUUGGGAUUGCUUGAACAUGCAGAAAUGUGUUCUUCGAAACCCAGGGCUUC
rnacentral:lncRNA from 1 species